UCGUGAGAAUAAGUAUACAAGAGGAUGUCAGAUUUGUUCUGAAACAGUUGUUGAGAAGUUUUGAGUGGCUGGCCAGGACUUACAGCCCACAUACUCAGCCACCAGAUGCAAUCUCCAAUAUGAGCGGGCUUUGGGAAAACACAAUCGGAAUCGGGCAAGUGAAGUUUGUUGCAGACAAGUUCUUCUUUCCCUCUGCCACAACCUCCUCCAAGGCAUAGCAGCAAAUCAGCCUUUCAGAAUAUUGCAGGAUCAGCAGCAGAAGUCCCUUUGCCAGAGAAAUGGACAAAAAAAAAAAGAAGGAAAGAUGGAAUGAGGGGAGCAACAACGGAGGAUGGUGGAAGUGUUCUUCAGGUCUAAUUUUGGGUUCUAGAAACAUCUGGCCAAAUAACGUCUUUCAUAACUAAAAUGGAAUAUAAAGAAGCCAUUUGACCUGCCUCAGUUGUCAUGGUCAUCAUGACAAGCCACAGCAGGACAAAUCAGCUUAACAAUUUCGGAAACUGCCAGAAAUGCUAUUUGGACUAAUUUUUAUUUGAGAGUUGGCUAAAACUGGUCACAUCCCAAAAUACCUCAAGAUAAACAACGUAACAUUAUCAUAUAAACCUAUGUUCACCAAAUUAGGUUAAAAUAAGCUCUUUUGAGAAGGUUGAAUUUUUUAUGAGGAUUAUUCCCAAAAUAUGUUUAGACACAAGCAGUUCAACUUUUCUUUUUUCCAUAUUUGAUAUCAAUCAAACUAAAUUUUUACGUGUUUAGAAUUGUAUUAAUUGUAUUCUUCAGUUACCUAUAAAAUUUGAUUAUCAUGUCUUUAUGGAAAUUUUAAUAUCAGAUAUAGAUUAAAGAAUGGCAUAUUUAAAAUGACGUUUUAAUACUUUAUAAGAAGCAACAGAAAUUUGACUUCCAAAACACCUCUCAGUACUACCAUUGGAGUACAUCUAUAUUUUUCUGUCAGAAUAUGUUCCAAAGCAAACAUAAGUAAUCCUUAUUUUCGUGAUACAUUGACGCUCAAAAGUUGUGUGUUCAGCAUGUCUACAAUUAAAUUACCACACAUUUGAAACAGCAGACUAAAACUGACGUAACAUCUGGAAAAAAUUGCUCUAAUUGCUAGGCCCUAAAUUCAUCUGACCUUGACACUCUCAUCUGAAUUUAAAAGUGUUUUAAAUUCUUAGCCAAUCAAUUCAAGCCAGAACUGAAUUCAUGUGUUUUCAGAAAAUGUUAAGCUAGAACAACGUAACUAGAGUAGAUUCCUGGUCAAACUUUGGUUUUGUUCAGGUAUCCACUCAUUUCCUAGGUGACCCAGAGGCCACAACUCACAACUCCACCCCUUCCUGUGGCUAGUCCAGGCUGUGCCAAUCUUGUAGUCUUGAAGUCCUGGCAAUGGGCGGGGGUGGGAGCUGACCCACUGCUGACCAACAUGUCAAAAACAGAUGGCUGUGGAGCCCUCUGGAAAAGCUUCCCUCAUUCUUACGGAAUCUUGUGAAGGGAUGGUCUGUUUCUGUCCUGUUCCCUGGAUGUCAAAUGUCUGGGUUUGAGACCCAGAACUCCUGAAACCAUCUCACAACUACAAGAGGAGCAGAUGCAGCCACUGAGGAUGGCCAAGCAGAGGGAGGGAGGACUGUUCCUGCCAGCAUCGCCAGUGGCUGAAUCACUCAGCCCAGAGCCCCCACGGCACCCUAAAUGUCCUCUUGACAGAUGGAAAACGUUGUCUUACUGUUUGUGCCUGUGAGAAAAGUCCCUUUUGCUUGCAGUGAAGGCAUCCCAGUUGAUACAAAUGAAAUUUGAAAAUUAGAGAUUUCAUGGAACCAAUGUUUCCUUUGUUUCAGUUCAUUUUCAUGGCUCAUCUUUUAAAUAAACCCUCUAUUGAAUUGUU